UACGUAGGGGGCGAGCGUUGUCCGGAUUUAUUGGGCGUAAAGAGCGUGUAGGCGGCCAGGUAGGUCUGCUGUGAAAACUCGAGGCUCAACCUCGAGACGUCGGCGGAAACCAUCUGGCUAGAGUCCGGAAGAGGAGAGUGGAAUUCCUGGUGUAGCGGUGAAAUGCGCAGAUAUCAGGAAGAACACCCGUGGCGAAGGCGGCUCUCUGGGCAGGUACUGACGCUGAGACGCGAAAGCGUGGGGAGCGAACAGG
rnacentral:rRNA from 1 species